rnacentral:rRNA from 1 species
UACGAAGGGGGCUAGCGUUGUUCGGAUUUACUGGGCGUAAAGCGCACGUAGGCGGUUUGUUAAGUCAGGGGUGAAAUCCUAGAGCUCAACUCUGGAACUGCCUUUGAUACUGGUAGCUCGAGUCCGGAAGAGGUAAGUGGAACUCCUAGUGUAGAGGUGGAAUUCGUAGAUAUUAGGAAGAACACCAGUGGCGAAGGCGGCUUACUGGUCCGGAACUGACGCUGAGGUGCGAAAGCGUGGGGAGCAAACAGG